GCGUUCGUAGCUCAGAUGGAUAGAGCGUCCCCCUCCUAAGGAGAAGGCCCCCGGUUCGAAUCCGGGCGAGCGUACCA
rnacentral:tRNA from 1 species